CCUCCUCCUCUUCCCCCCCCUCCCCCAGAUGUGGCCGACGUCUGUGCCUUCCUCGCUUCCGACGAGAGCCGAUAUAUCACGGGAGCCAGCCUGGAAGUGACAGGGGGCCUUUUCAUCUGAGCCUCUGCUGCCCCCUGCUGGGGGAGAGCCCCCUCCGCGAACACACACUUCCCGGAAGGACUCCCGGCCGUCUUUCGGUAAAACACUGCACUCCAUGGACAGACCUGGUGCUCCGCUGAUGCCUGUCGCUGCCGGGGACGUGGAGGAUGGGCCCUGGACUUUUAUGGAAGGGAGGGGGGCCUCUUCCUGCCAAGGCUCACCUGCCUCCCCCCCAACCCUCCCCGCCAAGGGGUGCAAUUGCUGUUUCGGGCUGCUGGUGGCGAGGAGGAGUUUGAUAUUCACCUGUGGAUUGAUCGAGCAAUCCGUGGAAUUUAAAUAAAGGUGUUUUUUUUUUUCCACUCUGAA